rnacentral:rRNA from 1 species
CAGCCGCCGCGGGAACACGUAGGUGGCAAGCGUUAUCCGGAAUUAUUGGGCGUAAAGCGCGCGUAGGCGGUUUUUUAAGUCUGAUGUGAAAGCCCACGGCUCAACCGUGGAGGGUCAUUGGAAACUGGAAAACUUGAGUGCAGAAGAGGAAAGUGGAAUUCCAUGUGUAGCGGUGAAAUGCGCAGAGAUAUGGAGGAACACCAGUGGCGAAGGCGACUUUCUGGUCUGUAACUGACGCUGAUGUGCGAAAGCGUGGGGAUCAAACAGGAUUAGAUACCCGUGUAGUCCCUGUCUCUUAUAC